rnacentral:misc_RNA from 1 species
AGCAACUUCAGAUGCUUCCUUGAUUCCCAUUGCUCCGAUGACAAGAAGAGUGAAUCCAACUACUCUUGUCCCCCAUGUACGAAUAACUUCAAUGUGGAGUCUGUCCUUUAAGAGAAGAAACAACAGCCCAAAAAUCAACUGUCCAGCAUCAUGGCCACAGCCCCAGAGGGCUCCUACUGCCGCACUCUCCAUUGGUGUACGGCCUAUUGACAGAGGAGCCAAAGCAGCAAGAUGGUCCGGACCUGAAAGGGUGUGAAGGCAACCAGCAAAGAAACCAGCCCAUGCACUUGUUAGUAGUUCAUUACGUACAAGUUGAGUCCCCACUGCUGCUGCAGCUGGACCCCCUGCCUUAGCUGCAGUUUGGAAACUAGCAAAAGCAGGUGAAACAAUGACUGGGUGGAGGAGCAUAACAAGCAUGGCUGAGAGUAAGACUACUGUACUAGUCGAAACCACCUUGCGUUGUUGAGAUAGAAUUUCAGCAACCCAAUUGAGCAAAUGGGGCUUCGAACCCGACCCAUCUUGCAAAUGCUUAGAUUCCGACGAAUUACCCGCAUGCCCAUCACCAAAUCUGGAAGAUGCGAUCGACCCAGAAGAUGAAAACUGGUGAAUACACUUGCAGGAAAGCGAAUUGGGUCUACGAGGUUCGACAUGGAGAAGGGAGGAGAAGUGGAGUUUAGGGAGACGAGGAAAGGUCUUUAGAUGGAGUUUAGAGGGAAGUGAGUUGGUAUAGAUAAGCCUCUCCAUUUGAGUAAAUUGUGCAGUUUUUCCUCCAAAUAAGUAUGACCUAUCUAUCUUCUCAAUUUGUCGGUUUGUUUCUUAGUUUGGAUUAUUAUCCCUGAAAGAGAUUUUCAGAUUAUGCAUCACAGAAGACAAGAGGUUGAAGAAGCUAAAGUAUUUGGAGUAGUU